rnacentral:pre_miRNA from 1 species
AGGCAAAAGUUGGGCAAGACUUUGGCAAAACUUGGAUUUAGGCUGCACCAAAGUUUAACCCAAACUUCACCCAACUCUUUCCA